AUUCACUCUCCGGCCCUUCCAGGCCCCACCUGGGGCCUGGGGCCUGUGCUACAGCAGAAGCGGCCGGGGGGCCUCUGUGAGGCGCAGGUGUUCACCAGAUACCUCACGGUUCCGCAGGGCCAGAUCCUGAAUCCCAGACUUUGGGCCUGCCUGGGGCUCCCCUGAGAGGAAACCCUGAAGCCUGAGGAGCUCCAUACCUGUGUUUUAAAAAUCGCAACUCCAGGCCACCGCCUCCUGAAAGCCUUUCUGGAUUAUGCCAGACUGCACCCGUCUACACAGUCCGGAGUGCAGCUGGAUUGGGGGAAAGACAUCUGAAUUUCCAGGCUUCGACUCUUCCCUAGGUCCCUGAAUUAUCAAAGAAUUCCGCGGGAUGGUUCUGUGGUUUUCAUAGCAGAUUAUCUGGGUCCUUGUUUACUUUUGGGCUCUUCC